GAUGAACGCUAGCUACAGGCUUAACACAUGCAAGUCGAGGGGAAACGACAUCGAAAGCUUGCUUUUGAUGGGCGUCGACCGGCGCACGGGUGAGUAACGCGUAUCCAACCUGCCCAUCACUUGGGAAUAACCUUGCGAAAGUAAGACUAAUACCCAAUGAUAUCCCACGAAGGCAUCGGAAUGGGAUUCAAGAUUUAUCGGUGAUGGAUGGGGAUGCGUCUGAUUAGCUUGUUGGCGGGGUAACGGCCCACCAAGGCAACGAUCAGUAGGGGUUCUGAGAGGAAGGUCCCCCACAUUGGAACUGAGACACGGUCCAAACUCCUACGGGAGGCAGCAGUGAGGAAUAUUGAUCAAUGGGCGAGAGCCUGAACCAGCCAAGUAGCGUGCAGGAAGACGGCCCUAUGGGUUGUAAACUGCUUUUAUAAGGGAAUAAAGUGGGUCACGUGUGACUUUUUGCAUGUACCUUAUGAAUAAGGACCGGCUAAUUCCGUG
rnacentral:rRNA from 1 species